GAUGAAGAACGUAGCGAAAUGCGAUAAGUAGUGUGAAUUGCAGAAUUCAGUGAAUCAUCGAAUCUUUGAACGCACAUUGCGCCCUUUGGUAUUCCAAAGGGCAUGCCUGUUCGAGCGUCAUUUCAACCCUCAAGCUCUGCUUGGUGUUGGGGCCCUACGUCUGACGUAGGCCCUCAAAGACAGUGGCGGACCCUCUCGGAGCCUCCUUUGCGUAGUAACUAACGUCUCGCACUGGGAUUCGGAGGGACUCUUGCCGUAAAACCCCCAAUUUUUACAGGUUGACCUCGGAUCAGGUAGGAAUACCCGCUGAACUUAAGCAUAUCAAUAAGCGGAGGA
rnacentral:misc_RNA from 1 species